AAGUUAAUCGGCGAUGACGUUCGCCACAUAAUAAUUGAUAAUCAAUUUGAUGACGUCUACUGUUUG
rnacentral:ncRNA from 20 species